GACUAAUUGACCGUUAAUUGCCACGUGUAAUCAUAUCAUUGGUUUUCUUUUUCCCUUCAACCCUGUGCAUUUUUCAUUAACGGCCAAUGAUAUGGUUACACGUGGCAAUUAACAGUC
rnacentral:pre_miRNA from 1 species